UACGUAGGCAGCAAGCGUUGUUCGGAAUUACUGGGCGUAAAGAGUGUGUAGGCGGUGCUCUAAGUCUGUUGUGAAAUCUCCCGGCUUAACCGGGAGGGUGCGGCGGAAACUGGAGUGCUUGAGGGUGGGAGAGGUAAGCGGAAUUCCUGGUGUAGCGGUGAAAUGCGUAGAUAUCAGGAGGAACACCUGUGGUGUAGACGGCUUUCUGGACCGUAGCUGACGCUGAGACACGAAAGCGUGGGUAGCAAACAGG
rnacentral:rRNA from 1 species